AUACCUGGGGAAAAAACAACAGGGAUUGCCUCAGUAACGGCGAGUGAAGCGGCAAUAGCUCAAAUUUGAAAGCUGGCUCACGCCCGCAUUGUAAUUUGCAGAGGAUGUUUCGGGUGCGGUGCCGGUCUAAGUUCUUUGGAACAGGACGUCAUAGAGGGUGAGAAUCCCGUAUGUGACUGGUGGCCUGCGUCUAUGUGAAGCUCCUUCGACGAGUCGAGUUGUUUGGGAAUGCAGCUCUAAAUGGGUGGUGUACUUCAUCUAAAGCUAAAUAUUGGCUGGAGACCGAUAGCGCACAAGUAGAGUGAUCGAAAGAUGAAAAGCACUUUGGAAAGAGAGUUAAACAGUACGUGAAAUUGUUGAAAGGGAAGCGCUUGCAACCAGACUUGCGCGGCGUCGAUCAACCUGGGUUUUCCCUGGUGCACUCGGUGCCGUUCAGGCCAGCAUCAGUUUCGGCGGUUGGAUAAAGGCCUGGAGAAUGUGAGUUGCUUCGGCGACUGUUAUAGCUCUAGGUGUCAUGCAGCCAGCUGGGACUGAGGACCGCGCUUCGGCUAGGAUGCUGGCGUAAUAAUUGUAAGCGACCCGUCUUGAAACACGGACCAAGGAGUCUAACAUUUACGCAAGUGUUUGGGUGUGAAACCCAUACGCGCAAUGAAAGUGAACGGAGGUGAGAACUCGUUAGAGUGCAUCAUCGACCGAUCUUGAUGUUUUCGGAUGGAUUUGAGUAAGAGCGUAGCUGUUAGGACCCGAAAGAUGAUGAACUAUACCUGAAUAGGGUGAAGCCAGAGGAAACUCUGGUGGAGGCUCGCAGCGGUUCUGACGUGCAAAUCGAUCGUCAAAUUUGGGUAUAGGGGCGAAAGACUAAUCGAAUCAUUGAGCACUAUUAGGUGAUUGAGAGACUUUUUGUAACUGAAGAGUCUAGUCGUCUUAGCGGCGGCUAUACUGCAAAAUUGCGGGGACUGUUCUAUAGAUUCAGGCUACCACAGCGCGCUCGAAAGGGCUCGCCACGGUCACAAGGCCUGAAGCUGAAUUUAUCCGCAACUAGAAUCUACCGUCACGCUUACCCGGAGGUGGUUCCCACACACCUUACCCGGCGAUUGUGAUCACGGUUCUGGCUCAUCGACUAGAUGGCAGUGGGUGCGCUCAGCGCCUAAGGGAUAGUCAGUCCGGCGCUGGCAGACGCUGAAGCUACGCUCCUAUUGUU
rnacentral:rRNA from 1 species